UACGGAGGGUGCAAGCGUUAGUCGGAAUUACUGGGCGUAAAGGGUGCGUAGGCGGAUAUGUAAGUCAGACGUGAAAUUCCGGGGCUCAACCCCGGAGCUGCAUCUGAAACUGCGUAUCUAGCAGGAUGGCGGAGAAAACGGAAUUCCAUGUGUAGCGGUGAAAUGCGUAGAUAUAUGGAAGAACACCUGUGGCGAAAGCGGUUUUCUAGCCUACCCUGGACGCUGGGGCACGAAAGCAAGGGGAGCAAACAGG
rnacentral:rRNA from 1 species